CGGUUAAGUUAGAAAGGGCGCACGGUGGAUGCCUUGGCACUAGGAGCCGAUGAAGGACGGGACGAACACCGAUAUGCUUCGGGGAGCUGUAAGCAAGCUUUGAUCCGGAGAUUUCCGAAUGGGGAAACCCACCACUCGUAAUGGAGUGGUAUCCAUAUCUGAAUUCAUAGGAUAUGAGAAGGCAGACCCGGGGAACUGAAACAUCUAAGUACCCGGAGGAAGAGAAAGCAAAUGCGAUUCCCUGAGUAGCGGCGAGCGAAACGGGAUUAGCCCAAACCAAGAGGCUUGCCUCUUGGGGUUGUAGGACACUCUGUACGGAGUUACAAAGGAACGAGGUAGAUGAAGAGGUCUGGAAAGGCCCGCCAUAGGAGGUAACAGCCCUGUAGUCAAAACUUCGUUCUCUCCUGAGUGGAUCCUGAGUACGGCGGAACACGUGAAAUUCCGUCGGAAUCCGGGAGGACCAUCUCCCAAGGCUAAAUACUCCCUAGUGACCGAUAGUGAACCAGUACCGUGAGGGAAAGGUGAAAAGCACCCCGGAAGGGGAGUGAAAGAGAUCCUGAAACCGUGUGCCUACAAGUAGUCAGAGCCCGUUAACGGGUGAUGGCGUGCCUUUUGUAGAAUGAACCGGCGAGUUACGAUCUCGUGCAAGGUUAAGCAGAAGAUGCGGAGCCGCAGCGAAAGCGAGUCUGAAUAGGGCGCAUGAGUACGUGGUCGUAGACCCGAAACCAGGUGAUCUACCCAUGUCCAGGGUGAAGUUCAGGUAA
rnacentral:rRNA from 1 species